GUCUCUUUGGUUAAUAUAUAUAAAGAGUUUGACCUGCCCAGUGAUAUGAUUUAACGGCCGCAGUAGCCUGACUGUGCAAAGGUAGCAUAAUAACUUGCCUUAUAAUUGAUGGCUAGAAUGAAUGGUUUGACGAGAGCAUUUCUGUCUCAAAUGUAUUUUUUAUAAUUUAUUUUUUAAGUUAAAAAACUUAAAUAAAACUAAAGGACGAGAAGACCCUAUCGAGCUUUAAAAAUUUUUUAAAAAAAUCAUAUAUUAUUAAAAUAUAUUUUUUUAAGAAGACUUUUUGGUUGGGGCGACCUAGGAACAAAUAAAACUUCCUCAAAAACAAUAAUAAAUGCAGUGAUCCAGCAUUAAAUGCUGAUAAAUGAAAUUAGUUACCGUAGGGAUAACAGCGUUAUUUUUUCUGAGAGACCAGAUUGAAGAAAAAGUUUGCGACCUCGAUGUUGGAUUGAGAUAACUUAAAGGUGCAGAAGCUUUUAUAAGUUAGUCUGUUCGACUAUAAAAAUCUCACGU
rnacentral:rRNA from 1 species